CAGUGUGGGCAAACAAAGGCUGCUUCCUGGAACACUGUGUCACAAGAUUCCCAGGGCUAUAGCCUUCUUGUCUCGGUCACAUGGCAGGUGCACGGAACUCAGUGUACGGCUCUCUGUAGGGGAUGUACCAUAUCAGACUAAUUCCUUGGUUCGACCUGGUUGGUUCUUGCCAGGCUGGGACUGAUAGACAUCAGAGCUCAGCUGAAAAGUUCCAUUGUGUAGUUUUCCCCUGUUUAUAAACCGGUAGGGAAUGAGCUCCCUAGAAGAGCUCAUCCCAACGUAAUGUAUGCAAAACACCAAAAUAUAUAGACACACCAGGAUGUUUUCUCAUGCCUAGUGAUCACCCUACAAAGGUAAAAGGACUGCCAGAAGAGAUAUACUUUGGAGGCAGAAUCAGCACAUAGCAUGGAAGGAAGAAAGGAGCUGAAUGUUUAUGCACAUAUGUAUAUAAGAAGGGAAUGGUGUUUUCUCUUUAGUUUUGCUGAUAGGAAGCUCAGGAAAAAGGCGACAUGAUGCAUGUAUAAAAGGAAGAGGGCCUGCAUAUGGAUAGUUAGACACACCCUAUUUAAAAGAGUACAUGCCUACAGGCCUGAUACUCCCUGAAGGUUUCUCAUGCAAAGACUAACCAGGUCUGACCAUGCUUAGUUUCUGAGCGUGGACAAGGUGAACCAGUUGCUUCUACCUCGGACUGAAAGGAAACUAGAGUCCCUUCUGAAAUGUUUCCCACAUCAUCUUCUUUCUAACCACUCAGUGAGCUAAGAUACUUUUUGCACACUGGCUUUCCUGACUAUGGUUUGCCCUCCUGUCUCUCAAGGUGAUUCCCAUUAUUUCACCCAGAUCAGCAAAAGUAAAUGAAGUUUGCUAAAUAUGUGCCUUGCCAAGAAAUAAGGCACAACACUAAUGUUCUUAAUGAAGUGCAAAGGAACAGCACAAUAUCUAACAGAACAGUCUGAAAUUGCACAUAAUUCUUUCCUUCACCUCCCAAAGAAUAAUAAACGCUUUUGGAAGAAGACUGAAAAUUCCAGGAAAGCAGGAAAUCAAACAGACAGUUGGCAUGCCAUCAUCUUCUACCGAAUGUCCUCUGGGUUCUUUCCUUCAUUUGCAAAAGUUGGACAAGGAAAGCUUUCCAAGGAAAGCCCCAAAACACGGCACGAUGGAAGCUUUUUUAAGUGUUUGCAGUCAUCUAUAGCAUCUUCAAUACUUGGAAAGUGGAAAGGAUUUCCAGAGAAUUCUAAAAUGAGUGUUGCUCUCCUCCAAGCAUCCUACAGCAUUGACAAAAGGCAAAAUGGUGACUUUUUUCACCCUUAGAAUUGCCAAAGGAAAAUGAGCAGGGUUUGGGGAAGCAGCGCAAAGAGAAGCACUGUAAAGCAUCAAGACUAUUUCUCUUUAUUCUUAAAGGUCAGCAAGCUGUCUUGCUUCCUGAAGAAGCUUUGAGGGAUGAUUCACACAAACUUUGCGACCUCCUUCAGGUGUUAUUAUUAUUUCAGGCCUAAUGAAACCACAGUCUAUGCUAUUUUGAACGAAGUAAAGAGAAAAGAAGAAUAAUUAAAGAAAUAUGCAGAGAAGGUCUGAAGGACAAAUAUUUAAAAAAAUCAUAUGUGCAUGAUAACUGCAGCAAGAUUAGUAUUCUUUCCAUCUAUGCACACAGAUGGAAAAAUUCGACCUUGCUCACAAUGGAGAAACAAUUGGUGAAGAUGAUGGAACUUGCUGAGAUGGCUAAAUUGACUUCUUUGAUCAGAGAAAAGUCAAUAGUUGCAUACAUUGCUGACUGGAAAUUCCUUAUGGACUUUUUGUGUAAUACAGAAAAAAUGAAUUUAAGAUUUAUGGUUUUGAUGAUUCCACAGGAUAGGUUAUAGAAAAGAGAGAGUUAUGUUGUAACCAUAGAAUAAAAAGUAAAGUUGUGAUUGUACAUAUGACUGCUGUAAAGAAGAUUGGAAACUACUUCUUUGCAGUUUUUUUCUUUUCUAUUUUUCUUCCAGGCUGCUACAUCGAGUCUGCUGCAUUCAGCCAACUCUUCUAUGCUACAGGGCAGUAUUAAAGCAGAUAUAAACAAUGGGUUUCAGUUCAGAAGAAGACAUUCAUUCUCUAUCAUAUCCCAAGAGGGAAAUGAGAGAAAUAAUGAGAUGCAAUUUGAUGUGAUGAGAUUGGUGACACUGCUU